CCAAAACACUGCUGGAGACUGUCACCAAGCCCAGGAACGUCCGUGGCUCCAGAAAGAAGAAGGAGUUUCUAGCUUGCAACUUUUUCCCCAUGCACACUGUGAGUUGCUUCUGGUUCGCCAGGACACCACUGAUGUGCAAGAGAUGAUGCUGGAGCAGCUCACCAUGAGGGCAAGGCAGGGCUGGACAGAGAUACGGAAAGAGUGCCAGGAAUACCUCAUUUGGGAUCAAGUUGCUGAGCUCCUGCUCUCAGCGCUGUCCUUGCCCGUCGCAUUUGGAUGUUGAAUUGGUG
ensembl:lncRNA